rnacentral:rRNA from 1 species
CAGUAGCCACGGUAACACGGAGGGGGCUAGCGUUGUUCGGAAUUACUGGGCGUAAAGCGCACGUAGGCGGCUUGGUAAGUUAGAGGUGAAAGCCCGGAGCUCAACUCCGGAAUUGCCUUUAAGACUGCCGAGCUAGCAGGUGAGAGAGGUAAGUGGAAUUCCGAGUGUAGAGGUGAAAUUCGUAGAUAUUCGGAAGAACACCAGUGGCGAAGGCGACUGACUGGACAAGUAUUGACGCUGAGGUGCGAAAGCGUGGGGAGCAAACAGGAUUAGAUACCCCCGUAGUCCCUGUCUCUUAUAA